UAGCAGAAUUUAAAUUGCUGUUGUUCAGG
rnacentral:piRNA from 1 species